rnacentral:tRNA from 1 species
GCUCGCCCUGGCGGGCGUGGUGCCGAUCGCUCUGUGGCGGCGCCGGCGGUCGCGGCGGUCGCGGCGCCGGACGGGCU